UCGGGAAUUUUGGGCAAUGGGCGAAAGCCUGACCCAGCAACGCCGCGUGAAGGAUGAAGUAUUUCGGUAUGUAAACUUCGAAAGAAUAGGAAGAAUAAAUGACGGUACUAUUUAUAAGGUCCGGCUAACUACGUGCCAGCAGCCGCGGUAAUACGUAGGGACCAAGCGUUGUUCGGAUUUACUGGGCGUAAAGGGCGCGUAGGCGGCAAUUCAAGUCAUCUGUGAAAUCUCCGGGCUUAACUCGGAACGGUCAGAUGAUACUGCUUUGCUAGAGUGCAGAAGGGGCAAUCGGAAUUCUUGGUGUAGCGGUGAAAUGCGUAGAUAUCAAGAGGAACACCGAUGGCGAAGGCAGAUCUCUGGGCCGUAACUGACGCUGAGGAGCGAAAGCAUGGGGAGCGAACAGGAUUAGAUACCCACGUAGUCCCUGAGCGGGCUGGCAAGGCGCAU
rnacentral:rRNA from 1 species